rnacentral:rRNA from 1 species
AUUGAACGCUGGCGGCAGGCCUAACACAUGCAAGUCGAGCGGAGCGGCGGACGGGUGAGUAAUGCCUAGGAAUCUGCCUGGUCGUGGGGGAUAACGUCCGGAAACGGGCGCUAAUACCGCAUACUCUCAGCUGAGCCAAGGUCGGAUUAGCGAGUUGGUGGGGUAAAGGCCUACCAAGGCGACGAUCCGUAACUGGGCUGAGAGGAUGAUCAGUCACACUGGAACUGAGACACGGUCCAGACUCCUACGGGAGGCAGCAGGGGGGAAUGUGGGACAAUGGGCGAAAGCCUGAUCCAGCCAUGCGGCGUGUGUGAAGAAGGUCUUCGGAUUGUAAAGCACUUGAAGUUGGGAGGCGGUACCAACAGAAUAAGCACCGGCUAACUACGUGCCAGCAGCCGCGGUAAUUC